rnacentral:rRNA from 1 species
AACGCGAAGAACCUUACCAGUCCUUGACAUGUCCACUAUGGGUCUGAGAGAUCAGAUCCUUCACUUCGGGUGGGUGGAACACAGGUGCUGCAUGGCUGUCGUCAGCUCGUGUCGUGAGAUGUUGGGUUAAGUCCCGCAACGAGCGCAACCCUCAUCUUCAGUUGCCCCCGGGUAAGGCCGGGCACUCUGAAGAAACCGCCGGUGACAAGCCGGAGGAAGGCGGGGAUGACGUCAAGUCCUCAUGGCCCUUACGGACUGGGCUACACACGUACUACAAUGGUGGUGACAAUGGGCAGCGAAAGCGCGAGCUGGAGCCAAUCCCCAAAAGCCAUCUCAGUUCAGAUUGCACUCUGCAACUCGAGUGCAUGAAGUUGGAAUCGCUAGUAAUCGCAGAUCAGCACGCUGCGGUGAAUACGUUCCCGGGCCUUGUA